rnacentral:lncRNA from 1 species
CUUCCCCCUGUCAGCGGGUCUCCACUGAAUCAUCGGCAGGAGUCCCGGAUGAUCCCCCAGUCGCGCAGCCCCUCCCCCGCUCCUUCCCAACCCGCGCUGCCGCAGCCAUCGCAGACUCUAGGGGAGGGAGCGAUGUUCUCUCCUACCAUUCCAGCACCUCCGAAGGUGUAAGCAAGGCACCCAUGAUUUACAAAAUUCUACCAGGAGAGAAUGGUGCAAUAUCUAAAUCUGUGGUCCGUGCCCUGAAAAAGUAGUCCAGACAAAAGAUAAGAAAAAUGAUUGUCGGAUACAGUUUAUAAAACACACGCAGAAGAAACGUGGUGAUGGGAUUGUAUCAAUGUCAAUGCCUCUGCUGACGACUACCAAUACAGAAUGGGAAUCCAUGUCGACAUUCUUCCUUCAAGAGUUUUGGAACUCACCCCUAACUUUUCAUGGAAAUGGCCUGCUACUUGUUCUGUGACCUACUGAUGAUAUAUUUUACUUUGAAGCACAGCCAGGACCAGAGAGAGAGAGAGAGAGAAGAAAGAGAGAGAGAAAGGU